rnacentral:rRNA from 1 species
UACGAAGGGGGCUAGCGUUGCUCGGAUUUACUGGGCGUAAAGCGCACGUAGGCGGAUCGAUCAGUCAGGGGUGAAAUCCCAGAGCUCAACUCUGGAACUGCCUUUGAUACUGUCGAUCUGGAGUAUGGAGGAGGUGAGUGGAAUUCCGAGUGUAGAGGUGAAAUUCGUAGAUAUUCGGAGGAACACCAGUGGCGAAGGCGGCUCACUGGUCCAUUACUGACGCUGAGGUGCGAAAGCGUGGGGAGCAAACAGG